rnacentral:rRNA from 1 species
GGAAAGGUGAAAAGAACCCCGAACAGGGGAGUGAAAUAGAACCUGAAACCAUACGCUUACAACCGGUCGGAGCAGCUUCGUGCUGUGACGGCGUGCCUAUUGAAUAAUGAGCCUACGAGUUACUAAUCACUAGCGAGGUUAAGUGCAAGGAUGCACGGAGCCGAAGCGAAAGCGAGUCUGAACAGGGCGUUUAGUUAGUGGUUGUAGACGCGAAACCUUGCGAUCUACCCUUGAGCAGGUUGAAGGUUGGGUAAAACCAACUGGAGGACCGAACGAAUAAGCGUUGAAAAGCUUCUCGAUGACUUGAGGGUAGGGGUGAAAGGCUAAUCAAGCUGGGAAAUAGCUCGUACUCCCCGAAAUGCCUUUAGGGGCAGCGUUGUAAUAAAGAGUCUACUGGAGGUAGAGCUACUGAUUGGAUGCGGGGGCUUCACCGCCUACCAAAUCCUGACAAACUCCGAAUGCCAGUAGUAUGAUUUACAGCAGUGAGUGACUGGGUGCUAAUGUCCAGUCGCAAAAGAGGAACAACUCAGACCAGCAACUAAGGUCCCGAAGAAUAUGCUAAGUUGAUCUAACGAUGUUUUGUUGCAGAGACAGCUAGGAUGUUAGCUUGGAAGCAGCUAUUCAUUCAAAGAGUGCGUAACAGCUCACUAGUCGAGCGACAGAGCGUGGAUAAUAAACGGGCAUCAAGCAUAUCACCGAAGUUCUGGGCGCGAGAGCGCGGUAGGGGAGCAUUCCAUUCAGCGUCGAAGCAGUUUCGUGAGGAAUUGUGGAGCGUAUGGAAAAGCAAAUGUAGGCAUGAGUAACGAUAAUGCGGGAGAGUAACCCGCACACCGCAAGACCAAGGUUUCCUGAUCAACGCUAAUCGGAUCAGGGUUAGUCGGGUCCUAAGGGUAAGCCGAACGGUGAUCUCGAUGGAUAAUCGGUUAAUAUUCCGAUACUGACAUAUACCUCGAUGGAGAGACGAAGGAACGUAAGUGCCGCCACCUGACGGAAUAGGUGGUUAAAGGGCGUAGAUAUAGGGGCAGAUUAAGAGUUAGUCCUUGCUGAAACCUGACAGUACAGAGAGCCUACGGGCAAUUUGAUAGAGCACCCAAGUCGACUUCCGAGAAAAUCUUCUAAGUUAUAGUAUAUGUUACCCGUACCGUAAACCGACACAGGUGGUCGAGGAGAGUAUCCUAAGGUGCUCGAGUGAAUCACGGUUAAGGAACUAGGCAAAUUAACCCCGUAACUUCGGGAAAAGGGGUCCCUAUGAAAGUAGGGCGCAGCGAAGAGGUCCAGGCGACUGUUUAUCAAAAACACAGGGCUCUGCAAAUUCGAAAGAAGACGUAUAGGGCCUGACACCUGCCCGGUGCUGGAAGGUUAAGAGGGGAUGUCAUCGCAAGAGAAGCAUUGAAUCGAAGCCCCAGUAAACGGCGGCCGUAACUAUAACGGUCCUAAGGUAGCGAAAUUCCUUGUCGGGUAAGUUCCGACCUGCACGAAUGGUGUAACGAUCUGGACACUGUCUCAACCGUGAGCUCGGUGAAAUUGUAGUCCCGGUGAUGAUGCCGGGUACCCGCAACGGGACGAAAAGACCCCGUGAACCUUUACUAUAGCUUAACGCUGAAUUUGGGUACACAAUGUGUAGGAUAGGCCGGAGGCUUUGAAGCGGGCACGCCAGUGUUCGUGGAGCCGACGUUGAAAUACGGCCCUUUGUGUAUUUGAGUUCUAACCCUGCGAAGGGGACACCGUUUGGUGGGUAGUUUGACUGGGGUGGUCGCCUCCAAAAGCGUAACGGAGGCUUCCCAAGGUACCCUCAGCACGAAUGGUAACCGUGCGCGGAGUGCAAUAGCAUAAGGGUGCUUGACUGUGAGACAUACAAGUCGACCAGGUACGAAAGUAGGGUAUAGUGAUCCGGUGGUUCUGCGUGGACUGGCCAUCGCUCAAAGGAUAAAAGGUACUCCGGGGAUAACAGGCUGAUCGCCGCCAAGAGCUCAUAUCGACGCGGCGGUUUGGCACCUCGAUGUCGGCUCGUCACAUCCUGGGGCUGGAGAAGGUCCCAAGGGUU